GUAGGUGGCAAGCGUUGUCCGGAAUUAUUGGGCGUAAAGCGCGCGCAGGCGGUUCUUUAAGUCUGAUGUGAAAGCCCACGGGCUCAACCGUGGAGGGUCAUUGGAAACUGGAGAACUUGGGUACAGAAGAGGAAAGCGGAAUUCCACGUGUAGCGGUGAAAUGCGUAGAGAUGUGGAGGAACACCAGUGGCGUAGGCGGCUUUCUGGUCUGUAACUGACGCUGAGGCGCGAAAGCGUGGGGAGCAAACAGGAUUAGAUACCCUGGUAGUCCACGCCGUAAACGAUGAGUGCUAAGUGUUAGGGGGUUUCCGCCCCUUAGUGCUGCAGCUAACGCAUUAAGCACUCCGCCUGGGGAGUACGGCCGCAAAGGCUG
rnacentral:rRNA from 1 species